GAAGAUACUGUGGAGGCUGAGGGGCAUGAG
rnacentral:piRNA from 1 species